rnacentral:rRNA from 1 species
UAUCGGAUUACUGGGGCGUAAGCGCACGCAGGCGGUCUGUUAAGUCAGAUGUGAAAUCCCCGGGCUUAACCUGGGAACUGCAUUUGAAACUGGCAGGCUUGAGUCUCGUAGAGGGGGGUAGAAUUCCAGGUGUAGCGGUGAAAUGCGUAGAGAUCUGGAGGAAUACCGGUGGCGAAGGCGGCCCCCUGGACGAAGACUGACGCUCAGGUGCGAAAGCGUGGGGAGCAAACAGGAUUAGAUACCCUGGUAGUCCACGCCGUAAACGAUGUCGACUUGGAGGUUGUGCCCUUGAGGCGUGGCUUCCGGAGCUAACGCGUUAAGUCGACCGCCUGGGGAGUACGGCCGCAAGGUUAAAACUCAAAUGAAUUGACGGGGGCCCGCACAAGCGGUGGAGCAUGUGGUUUAAUUCGAUGCAACGCGAAGAACCUUACCUGGCCUUGACAUCCAGAGAACUUAGCAGAGAUGCUUUGGUGCCUUCGGGAACUCUGAGACAGGUGCUGCAUGGCUGUCGUCAGCUCGUGUUGUGAAAUGUUGGGUUAAGUCCCGCAACGAGCGCAACCCUUAUCCUUUGUUGCCAGCGGCUCGGCCGGGAACU